CAGCAACAACAAAGUACUGCUUCGACCUCAAAAUUUUAGUAGUUGUAUCCAAAAAGGCAUGGAACUCAACCCCGCAACAGCUCCCUUGCACAAAUUACGUAUCAAGUUGGGGCCUUCAACCAAAGCUUAUCAAACUCCACGAACCUAAGCAAUUGCGCCGUGCCGUAGAAAAAAAAGGCAGAUGUUUUCACUUGCGAGCAAUUAUCAAACGAGUUUUUGCCGUUUCUGCAACGGAAUCGUGUGAAAAUUUCCACCUCAAAAGAACCAUCGGGAACUACUUUCGCGGAGCCUCCUCAUCGCAGCAACCUCUGGGGAGGUUGGGACGAAGCCAUGCGCUCACGCACACCACGACCGCGCGCAGUACAUAAGGCUGCGUUCGUGUGUGCGACCUCGGCUCCCUCCCCACUCACACAGGUACGGGCACCGAACGGUCUCGAGGCUAGCUGCUCACCGCGCUGGCCAACGUUCGAUCAGAAAGGUUUUCGCCGUCGUUGAGAGUGGUACUGUUUUUAGAGUCUCUGGCAAAUCAAAGUGCAGUCGCAAAAAAAAAAGAUUAGUUCUAUAAAAGGCAGUGUGUGCUGAGAGUAGUAGUUCCUGAGUGUGGUCCAGAUUUUAAGUUGUUUUUUUUCGUUCGUGUCGUCAUCGUCGUGCGAACACUGCAGUGCGAGAGUUCUAAAGCAGUACCAAAUGAGACAGUGAUGCACCUUUCCGACCAUCCGACCAUCGGGGCUAGCACUCAAUCGGCUUGGAUGUCGUCUGGAAACAAACCUAAUUUCGAUUUUGCUUUCAGUGAGAACUCUCGGUUAGUUCUUGGUAGGGGUUCGUACCUAGAGAAAGCGUCACCAAGUUUUGUAUCACAAUCCUUGCUGAUCAGAGAUUGAAGAAGAUGAUGGAGGAGGAGAAAUCGGGGGAAAUCGACUCGGAAGGGGCGCGCUGCAGCGACCCAGACCGGCCGGACAACGUCGUCGUGUCACCAACGUGCACGCAACGCAGAAAGGUCGAUUGGGAGACUCGGUGCAAGGGUUGAACCUAGAGAGCUAGAGAGCGAGAGCGAGAGAGAAUCUGAGCGAAAGAGAAAGAGUGAGCUAGAAAACCAAGGUGGGGAAGGUCUUCUGAAACACGCUGCCGUUACUUCCGCCGCCGCCGCCGCUACCGUCGCCGUCGUUCGAGCUUCGGGUGUUUUCCGGUGCCCGGGUUGUGACAAUGCUGCUGCUGCUGCUCCGGCACUUCCUGCACGUCCAAUGAAAGAGCGGACCCCCCUCUCCUCUCACGACUGGCGGGGACCAUCUUCCUAGGAAGCGGAAGCGAGCGCGUUGCGGUUCAGCGUCACGCCAACCACGGAUCCACAGCGAAGAAACAACUGGCACAGCAUGCGGCGACAGCACCAUGGCAACAAGUAAGACAGAGAAACAAAGCACGAAUACACACACAGAGAGAAAGGGAGUCACGGGUAACUAUACCGUAGUAGGCAACAGCAACCCAAAGCAGAUUGAUCUGUAGGAAUUGGUUUGUGCGUAGAUUGUACUCGCAAGAGCAUGUAUUUAGUACGUGCAAGGUGGUUUCGGCGCAAGCCGACCACCGCUAACUUAACCUGAUUUUGUAUCUCUUUCCAUACGAGAAACGCGUUCCAACCUGUGCAACACGAUUGGAUCACGCGCGCGGAAAGUCGAACAGCUUACGUAAGCCCGCUUUUUUUCGAUUUCAAUGCAGCAUUUCGAACUUGGUUAGAGCAGAAAAGAGCAAGCGAAUGAGGUCACCUUGGAAGGGGGAGAAAAAGCGAAAACGAAAACGCACAAGAAACAAGCAGGGAAGAGAGAAACGUCAAGCGUAGCGGUAAAUAGCGCUGAUUUUGUUGUUUUAGUAAUUUUUCAACCCGAGGUUUCUCGAGCCUCGAAGCAGGCCUUGAAGACGGCGCAGUAAGGAAAGGUAGAGAGAAUGCACGUAUUGAAGAAGGGGGUUGCUGAAGAAGCUGAACCCGUCACUAGCGUCGCUGUUCGUGCUGCAUCGGACGGCGUGCUUCGGACGAAACACGGAAUAGAAAUUUACUUUCGCUUGCAACCGAGAGAGAGCGAGCGAGUGGGAUCUUGAGAGCCCAUCGAGGUAAAGUGGUGUUCAGUUAUACGAUCAACGCACGUUUGUUUUCUUACAGAAACACUUGAAACAGAAGCGCCAACCGAACUUGCAAGUAUUGAAUUCAGAAGCUGUAGUAUGCAGAGUAUCGUAGUUUGAGCUAGACUUGAGGGGCUAACCCCAUCCACGAAACACACGCAACUUUUCGACUAUUUGCAGCACACCCGAACGGCCCGAUGUCGUCGUCGACGGGUCCGACUCGUAGUCGAGUUUCUCUGCCUUUUGCUUGAUUUCCUCUAUCCUCUCUGAAGAGCUGAACCGCUUGGAGGCCACGGAACUUGGCGGAAACGCCCCACCCGGAUCGGCCUAGAUAUGACCCCUUCCAGAAAUCUGCGGUAAACAAACACAACCAAACUUUCCCCAAAACCACGAAGUUGGCAUCUUUACAGAGUACCCGUAUCCGGUCCGGCUCCGCGAGGAGGCCGAGUUUCUUUGUUUAUUCUCUGUUCUAUUGUUUUGGCCGGGACGCUAUGGAUUACGCCCGAAGCUAGCUACUGCCUGGACGCACUGACAGCUCACCUUGGUAAACCCAGACAUAACCCUCUUCAAACAACACAGCCCUAUCGCAUCUUUCCAGCAAGACCCACCCACAGUUUCCUCUCACACCGGUCCGGCAACCUUUGCCGAGUUUCUCUGUUUUUGUUUUCUGUUCUGUUUCUUCACACAAUCCGGAACCACCGACACGGAACUGCCCCCGGAUGGCCCAGAGAACCACAUCUUGAACAGACGAGCUCGCGGUAACCUUACGACUAGAUACCUCCAACAAACCCGAGUUUCUCGUAUUUUCCAGCCACAAUUUCUCUCCAAUACGGUCCGGCUCCGUGGAAGCCGAGUUUCUCUGUUUAUUAUUUUGUGUCUCUUCCAUUUCCCAUCUUUCUACUGUCUAACCCCCGAACGCCGGAAGCGCGUGGCUCGGAACAUGACUGGUGGUGAAGGACACACACGCAAGCACUCACACUGAGAGCGAGAGCGAGAGAGAACUAGAACCCCAAGAUGAGUUCCCCCCCGCAGGCGGACCCUUGGCACGCAACACAAAGCAGGCGAUCUUUUUCCACUAUCCGGUCCGGCUCCACAUAACCAGCCGAGUUUCUUUGUUUUUCUUUGUUUUUGUUUUCUUUUGACACCUACCCCUUCUCUAUGAAUCACCGUCACCAACGACAACGAAGUGGAACAAGACCUGACAGCUGGGCAAAACAACACAAAGCAAGCGGUAAAUCGUACUUUGCAAACAUACACAAAACGAGAAGGAUUUUCUAUUACAGUUGAGAGCAAUCAAUUUGCGGGACAAAUGUUUAGAAGAAACGCGAAGCAGAUCGGAGAACUUCAAGUCCGACGCGACCAAAAGGGGCAUCGGAACAGCUAGAACUGUCGAACCGAAUCAGAUCAGUAAGCGAAUACGGUAUCAGAAACAAACAAGGAUUUUACUGUUUUUCAGAGGAAACUUAGAGAACUUCAACCCUUAUUGAGCGAACGCAAGGGACAUCCGAAUAGCUAGAGCUAUCGAAUUAAAAUCUGAGAGUAAGAUAAUGCGAUAUCAGAAACAAACAUGGAUUUUACUGUUUUUCAGAGGAAACUUAGAGAACUUCAACCCCUCUUGAGCGAACCGCAAAGGGGCAUCUGAAUAGCUAGAGCUAUCGAAUUAAAAUCUGAAAGUAAGAUAUUAAGAUGUCAGAAACAAACAAGAAUUUUACUGUUUUUCAGAGGAAUCUUAGAGAACUUCAACCCUUCUUGAGCGAACCGCAAAGGGGCAUCUGAAUAGCUAGAGCUAUCAAAUUGAAAUCUGAGAGUAUGAUAUUACGAUAUCAAAAACAAACCAGGAUUUUACUGUUUUUAGAGGAAAAUUAACCCAUUUCAUUGGAGCACGAAAUUUCACGAAAAUUGAAGAAAUUGUUAUGUCAAAAAUCGUACAAAGAAAACAAAACAAAAUUUAUUUUCACAGUCUACAAGUUAUCGGAAACCUAUGUAAAGUUUUAUCAACACAUUUGGAGCACACGAAGUUAAAUUAAUCCGCACGAUCCAAAAGAUCGCAACUGUAAGCUAAACAUACGUUUGGAAACAACGGAAUUUUACUUUUUGCAGAAACAAAAAAAGCUAAGUUUGGAACAGCCCAAGUCUUCGACGAUUAGAACCACUACAAGUGCACUUCGAGAGCAUUUAUGUGACACAUAAGCAAAAUUCUACUAUGAUAAUCUCAAAUGAAAUUAUUAGUAAAUUGAAAAGCAAAUUAUAAUGGAUGAAGCAAUAUUUUAGACGCAUUAACAGCUCAACGAGCUGCAUCAAAUGUAACAAAUUAUUUAAUAUUUUGCAGAUGUUAUUAUAUUAGCAAUGAUUAUUUGAAACUGUGUUCUAACAUAACAAUAUUUAAUUAUUAUGUAAUUAACGAAAACAUAUAAAAUGUAAGCUCAAUGAUGAAGGUUGAGCGUCUGAAUUUGUGCGAUGUUAUUUUAAACUAUUGUUCAAAACAAAAGUAGCACCGAUAAAAAGUUAUAGCAAUUUGAGAUCAAACAUGGAGGUCAUCAAAGUCAAAAUAACUACAGAAAAUUAAAAAAAAACAUCCCAGCAAGAUCCACUCGGAUCAUAUCAGUAAGAUAAUCACCAUUUUCGAAACAACCAGAAUUUUGCUUCUUUUCAGAAAACCAAAAUAUCUAGAACCAAGCAAGUCAACGCAAAUUUUAAAUGAAUUGCUGAAAAAAUAAUACUUGAUAUUGUUAUCAAACUACCAGCGGAAAAGUUACAACUGAAAAAAAAUGUUUAAAAAAAGUAUUGCAUAUUUUAUGCAAUGUUAAAUAAUUUAAAUAUAAAUAACAUGAUUGAUAUGUAAUUUACAAAAAAAAAAAAAAAAAAACAUUGUGAGCUCAACAAUAAAGCUUGAGCGUUUAUAAAACAAAUAUUUCAAUAUUUAAAGAAUGAGCCUUGUAACACAUUUUGUGGUAACAAAACAACAAAAUUUGUAAAAUUUACAGCACUUUGAAAAAAUAUCCUAGCAAGAAUUGUUAAGAUGCCGAAAAAAUACUAAAACAUCAGAGAUGAAAAUUAUACUAUAAUAAUUAUUAUAUCUGAAACAAGUUAAACUAAUUUACGACACGGCGGAGAGCACCUCAUCGACCUGAAGCUAUCGGCAGGAGGGCCCUCAACCUUACGUCAACGAGAUAUUCGAACCAGUAAGCCAAAAUACGUUUUUCGAAACAACCAGAAUUUUACUAUUUACAGAAGGCGGGAACGCAAUUCGUCAAAACCAAUCGAGAUCAAGCACUAGCAAAAAAUCUUCAAGUUAUCCCGUUCAAAACUACAGUAAGCGCGAACACAUUUUGCCCAUAGACAACGAGAUCUUUUAUUUUCACAGUUUAAGAAAGUUACUUGUCGUCCGCCCGAAACGCUUAAGGGGACGCGACGCGCACAGUGUUGCCAAGUCGACCGGAAAGUUUCUGACAGCUCCAACCGCACCCAAAAAAAUUGGUAAAUCAGUGUUGCUAUUUUUCCUCGACAACCAGAGCUUUUAUUUUUUUCAGAAGAAAAACACAUAGAGAGAAAAUGAUUUAAAAAAAAAAUGCAAAGCAGCUUUCAAAUUUGAGGUUAUGUGCGACACUUUUUCUUGCGUGCUACGCGCGCUUUAGGCACUUUCUGCGGUUCCCGGACGUCAUCUAUCUCCAACCCCCCUUCCUCCGAAUGUGGUGGCAUCCCAUCUUCCCCGUAUAUUGGUGUGCGUGCGUGUGUUUGUGCGCGUUCGUGUGCAUAUUUGUGUGCUGGAAAAAAGAAAAAAAUGGCGUUGACGCAGAUUCCGCCGGAAGAGAAGUUUUACACGAGCAUGCCGUGGUGGUAGCUAUGCUAAUAAUCUUUACAGAAUCUUUGUUUUUGUUUAUUUACUAUUGUUUACCUUUUUUAUACCUCUAAGUCUAAUACUCAGUAGUGCGUUUCAUAUGUAUUUGUUUACUUUUUACGGUAGUUUUUGUUCGAUCCCCCGUCAGCUGCUUUUGCGUCGGGGUUUUGUUACCAUUAAUCUACUUGUCUUUCUAUUCACAGAAUAGUUUCUAAUACAUACACACAUACAUUUAUAUAUAAUCUAGUUUUGUGCUGCGGCUAAGUUACUGGUUUAUUUACUAAGAAUUUCAUGGCUGUGAAUUUUUGCAUUAAAGGAAAACCAAAAAUACACUCAACAAAAAAUUAAAAACGCUUCCACUAAGCAGUGCAUUCGGGCUUCUAUGUAACAUAUUUUUUAUACAUUUUACCUUUUACUCCAUUUAUACCAGUGUACUAUCUCUUUGUUAACCUGUAUCUAUUUGAUAGUUUUUGAGCUUUGUUUUUAAGCACCCCUUUCCCCUCUUUGCAAGAAAAAUGAGGAAAUGUGUACUAGUGAUUAAAGCAAUUUCUGUGUAAAAUUAGCCUUUUAAGCGUUACUUAUACGGUAGUUAUUGCAUAACUAACACGAAGAUAAAUGUGCUUUGGAGCCAAGUGGAUGAAAAGAAAGGCAAUGAAAACCCAUUGUGACCCAAGAAGAGCUUCGCCUUAACAAAAUAAGAAAAACAAGCGAAAAAAUGACGUUCGGUUCUCCGCGGAGAACCCUACGGUAAACAAACGAGCAAAUCUCGCUCGGUGCUGGCGAUUAGGGCACCCUGCUGGUAAUUGGGAUUUGCUCCGCGGAACGGCCUGCUCGGUGCUCCAGUGGACACCAGCGGAAAGGGCACGUUACCGGCUGUUGAGACACAAAAUCUAACCUAAUCUAAUCUGUCAAGUGAUGAAUUGAAUGGAUUUCAGUUGUUUAUUUAUACCAGUGUGUGCUAGUGACGACAUCUAGAAUGUUGACGUUUUGUUCUUUACUUAAAGUUGUGAUUUCCUUUUGUGUCAUGCUUUGAUCUACUAGAAGAAAGUGUUUGAUUUUGUAUGGAAAAUUAUGUGAUGUGCCCAUUGUUGACCGAUAUUGUUUUAUACGCUAUUUAUGUAUAUUCCACAAGAAAUAUCUUGGAAAUGUUCCAACUUUGAAUUGUACAGUGAUAUGAAAUCAUGUUGUUACACACCUAGUUAUUGUACGUCUUAACAAAUGGUAUGCAUUUCAUUACUGAUCGCAAUAAUGUAUUUUCUAUCGAGCUUGAAUUUGUAACCAAAGUAUAACCUCAAAGUAUUGUAAUGCCACUGUGCACCGUUUCUUUCCACGGAGUGUGGUUUGUUAACCUUACCGAAUUACUGAAUAACGCAACAAGUUUGAAGCAGCUGCGCGAGCAUGAGUACGUAUUGAGCGCUGCCAAGUAGUACGCACCCCCCACCCGUGUUGACCUCCGGCCGCGUCGAGCCGUUCCGCGUGCCGUCGAGAGAACGUGUCCCCGAAACCCUCACCCUCCGCACACACAUACACAAGAGACAUCCGCUGCACAACAACCAAACCACACCAUCGCUUCUUGUUCUUCUGGUCUGGCGCAGAACUGCCUGCAAAGCUCUCUUCUACUACCAACGCUACGCUACCAACCCAGGGUCAUCUGUCCACCAUCACAUCCACACCGCCACCACUACACAUCUGUGUUGUUUCUGCACGUGCGACCUUCCAACCGGUCGGGGACCAGGUCACCCGCAAGAACCGCUAGAAGAAGCCUAAUGCGUCGCCUAGAAUCGCCCUUCGAGAACUCCGGACUCCGGUAAAGCCACUUUUGCCUCCCUCGCCCCCCCCCCCUCGUUUGCACAUAACCACGUGUCCCCUCCCCCCUCGAGAAAUGGGGGACACGUGCCCUUUCUUUUACUUUCAGAUCACUCUCACUGUUUACCUUGCGCACCCCGCUUUGUUUACCUCCGGGUGGUUGUGGCGCGUGUCCCAUUUGGUUGAGUGUGUUCCUCCCCCCUGGGUUUUUGACGGCGUUCUGGUUCCUAGCGCUUCCGAUCCAGAGUGUCCGCUGCUGCUGCUGCUUUGAGAGCGAGCGAGCGAGCUUCGUCCGAUUCGGCCGGCCUCUUCCGGCUUCGUUGGCGUUGGCGAGAUCUUGCUGGGGAAGGAGGCGUUUGCUGGCGUGACGUCCGUCAUCGCGGAUUCGGCUUGAGAACAAGUACGAGAUGAUGGCGACGCUGCUGCUGCUGCUUCCCCGGGAACCUUUGGCUUGGGACACUACUCGAGGACCGACCCCCCCGUGUUGGUGGAGCGUUUGAGGUUGCAGAAUUAGUGAAGUGAAUGAAUGGCUAGAGUGAGGAGUUCGUUGUUCGGCAGUGGGAAGCAGAUUCGACCAGUCAGUCAGCGUAGAGAGCUUAAAGUUUGAGAGAUUCAUCGAAGGAGGCAGUUUGAUUUCGGCAGAACGUCAACGUCGUCAAUGUUGACUUCUGGAGCAUUUUAAAACGUCCCGACGGUCACGUUCAACGACCACAACGGGCGCAUCGUAGCAAUCAACAAAAGUUUUACCAAUCAAUCCAAGUUACCACAACAACAACUGACAAGUCUUUAGACAAACAACAACACAACAAGAUACGCCAGUUGAUGGGCGCUAUCCACGCCAAAAGGAUGCACCCGCAAUCAACGCAAAAGUUAUCUCAGCAGAAAGAAGCCAAAACUUAGACAGAAAUCAUCACGCGAAGGGCCAGUUGAGCCGCGCAACAUCAGUGAACACCAAAAGUUCUGAAAUCAACAACCCAUCAACAAAGUGAAUUUAAACACCCUGCCAGGCAAGUGCGCCCGCGGCAGCGGUCAAAAAGUCAAAUUUGGACCCCACACAAAGUGUCAAAUCAAAGCAACCCAAAGUGCAACGGACACGAGUCAACGCAAUGUUGACGUUUCAAAAGUUACAAGAAAGUUGGUGACUGCGUCACCAGGGAAGCCCACCACAAAGUUUUGCUGAUUUAUUUGCAACGAAAAGAAAUGCAAGUGCCGCAACACAACGGCGAUGGACUUGAAGUUAUUUUUGUUUGUGAAGAGUUUGAAAGUGGGAGCUGUCAUCUUGAAAGCAGCAGCAGUUUCGGAAAGCAUUUCCUCGUGCUGUACCGCGUGAAAAUGUUGUCAGAUUUGUUAAAAAUAAAGCAUCCUGCCGUCGAGUUUGGAGGCGGCGUUGGAUCGGCUUACGAAGUUCCUGAUAAGUUAAAGUUCAAGUGAAGUUAAAUGUAAAAUGAUACAAAAUCAUCAACCACUCGUUUGUUCUUCGCGUCUAUGAAGUCAAAUGGAUAGAGUAGGCGAAUGCCAGCAAAAUGUCGUAAUUAUGAAAUAUUUGGACAGUUACAUAAAAGUGAAAAUGAACAAUGUUUGAAGUUGAAAUCCAUUCGCAAAAUCUGGAAGCGAAUUCGGAUGGGCUUACAAAGAUCCUGAUAAGUUAAAAUACAAGUGAUUUCAUCACUCAAGUGGUCCGGCUUGAUACAACAUCCCGGAUAUGCAGUGAAAUUAAAGUGCUUGAAUGCAGCGUCUAUUUGUUCUUCAAGUCUAUUAAGCCAAAUGGUUAGCUAGAAGUUAUGAAUGCAGAAAAAUACCAAGCAGAUGGAAGAUUUAUAAAGAUAUACGAAAGUUAAUAAGAAUCACGAAACGAAUGAUAAUGAAGUUAUACAUCCUAUCGCCAAGUCUGAAGGCGAAUUUGGAUAGGCUUACAAAGAUCCUGAUAAGUUAAAAUACAAGUGAUCCGGCUUGGUACAUCAACCCGGACAUGCAGUGAAAUUUUAGUGGCCCGUUUGAUCUUCAAGUCUACGAAGUCAAAUGGAGAGCGAAAAGUUAUGCAGAAUAUCAAAGUAAACCAUGAAGAUGAAAAAAUGGAAAGCUAUGCAAAAGCUAGAAUAAAGUAGUUUACAUAACGAAGCAAAAGAUAGUGUUCUAAAAUCCUAUCGCUAACGUAAAAAGCGAAUUUGGAUAGGCUCACAAAGUUCCUGAUAAGUUAAAGUACAAGUGAAAUGAUCUCAUUACUGAAAUGCUGUUGAUCCGCUGUGUACGGAGAAAUAUUUAAAAUCAACACAAGUCAACAUAAAAUAUAACCAAAUAAUUAUCGAAGAGAUGUUUUUAAAAUGAAAUUCAAGCUCGCUCUUCGCACCAAUGAAGGCAAAAGAGCAAAGAAAUAUAACUAUGAGGCUGAAUCAAAUUAAAAAGAAGCAAGAUCUUCUAUACAUGAAAAUCACACGAAAAUGGAAAAUUAAAUCAACACAAGUCAAUGCAAAGCCUUAGGAAGGCAUAUGGCCAAAAUUACCACAAGUUACAAGUGAUGAAUGACGAAAAUCUGAAAUUAUCAAUGAAGAAGGAAGCUGUUCAAAAGUGAUUGAAAAAGUUUACAUCAAACCAAAAUAAGGCUAAAUGCCGCUUAAAAGUUAAAAAGCGUAAAAAGUGAUUACACAAUUUGCGGAAAGAAGCUGUUUGGAAAGCUCCAAAGUAAACCAAGUUUCGAGCGUUUCGCCACUUCGUGGUGAGGAGCUGCCUGAAGUUACACAAUGUUACACAAGUUACCCACGUUGGAUCAUCGCGUCCGCCAUUGCGGACGAGCCCGACGCCAUCGACGGAGAGAGGCUGUUUAAGCUUUCGCUCCCCCUCCUCCAGUGCCCAAUCUCUGGGAGGGGGCACUGCCCAUAAACAGACUCGACCCGUCAACAACAUGAAGGACCAUCGAGAAAACCGAUUGCGUUCGUUUUUGGAAUCAACUGCGGAAGUGGGCCCACCCUCCCUUUUUGGGCUCCAGUUGUCUGCCGAAGAAAGGCUGUUUAAGCUUUCGUUCCCCCGCGCGACCCUCUUGUCCAAAGCGGGGGGACACUGCCCAUAAACAGACUUUGCUGAGGAAUGCUACGCUGUAAGAAGCACCACGUUUAUCGCUGGACGCGUGUGUCGCCAUCUGCUUCCGGGUUCGGGGCAGUUUUCUGUGCACGACGACGACGCCGACGAGGCCUGUUCCGUUUUUCCGUUUGUACUGUUUGCGACGAUUUCUUCUGGAGGUCAUCAGAAGGCUGUUUAAGCUUUGGACUCCACGCCUGGACCCACUGCCCAUAAACAGACUUCAUCGGAUCGGUCAGUUCCGCCGUUUCCUGGGUUCGAGGUUGCUGAGAAUUCGCAGCGGGAAGGAGUUUCGAGGAGAGAUCACUCACGCAAGGAGUUGGGAUCGUUUCGCCUAAUUGUGAGAGACUGUGCCGUGGACUGACGAAACAAACACUUUUUCUGGCUAGGACACCGAGAGAGAUAGACACUUUGAAUCCCUCACCAAUCCUAUCCGCGGAAAAAGACUCGAUUUCACCCGGGUCGGAUCCUCCGGGGGUGACCCGGGUCCGGAGAGGCACCCUUUUGCGGUCUGGCAAAUCUUUGGACGGCGUUCCAAACCUCAUCCUCAAACCAUUCUCCAAUGGGAAUUUUUUCUAGGAUUAGGCGACGAGAAAAAAAAGAAAAAAUACCUGCGCACACAAAUUCCUGUUCGAGACUACUAAAACUACCAGCGGAAGCAGUAUCAUAAAUACCGAAAAAACGCACAUCUAAAACUAAUAUUUCUUCCUAUCUCUCGAGAAGCUGUACCACUGUUAUCGACGACCGUUUUCCAAUACUGGCCGCGCCUGGUUCUGUAGCCAGCGCAGUGCCUUUAACCUCGAGGCCUUGGAUGCCACAUCCGAAGAUACCGGAAGGGGUGCCUCGAGAAAUUGACCUUUUUCUCUCCAGUUCCAACUCCGCCACUAAAAAACAAAAACAAACCGCACAAAACCUAACCUCACACAACCACCCUCGGUCUUCCUUCCGGACGAGACCUUGACCUUGACCUUGAGGAAGUACGGUUACUUCCGGGCCGUGGGCACCGGCAAGCGCGAAGAGGAGGCCGUAAGCCGCGGGAAGAGGUGCCCCGCCCGUUUUCCAGCUGGGGUGUUCCUGGGUUCCGGAGGAUCAUCGGCAUGCUCGGCAAGCGGGAAGAGCUUUGGACGUGGACCGCGUCCAAGGUGGCCAGCGGGAAGAGAGCAUUGCCCAACGGGUGCGCGGAUCUCGCCGGUCGGCAAGCGAGAAGAGCUCCGGACGCGGACCGCGUGCCGUGAGCGGCCAGCGGGAAGAGACCGGUGGGCAACGGGGGAUUUCCGCGUCUUGGCAGCUUUUUUUUGUUGGAUUAGCUAGGUUGGAUCGUUAGAGUCUGGUUCUCGAAUUUUGCAAAAUCUGAUUAAUAGAAUCUUUCUAAAAUUAAAUUGUUGAUAAUUCCUCUGAAAAACUAAAUUUAAUUAGUAAGAACAUGGAAUUUAUUCUACCUAACUUAAAAGUUACACUCACGAAAAAGCUAAAAUCUUGAAAACGUACUAUUCAAAUACGCAACUUGAUAUUUUAAAUAUCAUAAAGCAAAAAUAAGACUGAUAAAAUAUUACAAGACUGAUACGAUAAAACAUUUAUUUAAAAACUCAAACAAAACCAGUUUAAAAUUGUAUAAAAAUCGCAACAAAACAACAACCAACAAAUUUAAACAUAAUUUAAACAUUUUACAACUUAAAAACCAAACCAAACACUAAAUCUCAAACUGAACUUAAAUCAACCAAACUUUUGCGAGAUUUUUUUCUAAAUAAAAAGGACUUGUGGGAAAGAGGGUGGGCACUAAAAAAA